UACGAAGGGGGCUAGCGUUGUUCGGAAUUACUGGGCGUAAAGCGCACGUAGGCGGGUUUGUAAGUAGGGGGUGAAAUCCCAGGGCUCAACCCUGGAACUGCCUUCUAGACUGCAAGCCUGGAGGUCAGGAGAGGCGAGUGGAAUACCGAGUGUAGAGGUGAAAUUCGUAGAUAUUCGUUGGAACGCCAGUGGCGGAGGCGACUCGCUGGACUGAUACUGACGCUGAUGUGCUAAAGCGUGGGGAGCAAACAGG
rnacentral:rRNA from 1 species